UCCGGACGGACGCCGAAUCCUGCCGCCGUCCGGAAUCCGCACACUCACCCGUGCACGGCAGGAGCGGGGGACCCACAGGCGAAACCGCCUGUCCCGGUCUCCGGAACAGGCUCGGGGUAAAGCCGCGACCCGUCGCGGCCGGGCAUCUCCAGUCCGCACCCGACAGCUCACCUCGCAGGCGCCGGAGAGGAAUU
rfam:Streptomyces sp. DSM 15324 genomic scaffold PRJNA299231_s006, whole genome shotgun sequence.